UGAUCAUUAGCUCAGUCGGCAGAGUACCUGACUUUUAAUCAGGGUGUCCGGCGUUCGAGUCGCGGAUGACCCAUCA
rnacentral:tRNA from 1 species